rnacentral:rRNA from 1 species
UACGAAGGGGGCUAGCGUUGUUCGGAAUUACUGGGCGUAAAGCGCGCGCAGGCGGUCUUCCAAGUCAGUGGUGAAAGCCCGGAGCUCAACUCCGGAACUGCCAUUGAAACUGUAAGACUUGAGGAUGAGAGAGGUGAGUGGAAUUCCCAGUGUAGAGGUGAAAUUCGUAGAUAUUGGGAAGAACACCGGUGGCGAAGGCGGCUCACUGGCUCAUUUCUGACGCUCAGGCGCGACAGCGUGGGGAUCAAACAGG